rnacentral:lncRNA from 1 species
GCAUGACUUAUUAUUUUUACGUAAAACUCUAGCGGGAGCUUAGGGGCUAUGUGAAGGGGGUGUGUUGAAGGUUUAAUCUUGUUGUCUAAUAAUAAUUUUGCAAUUGAUCUUAUGAAUACCAAAGACGAGAAAGGCUAGAAUGAGGAGUUAUAGUACCUCGUAAUUAUAAUCUCUCGUUAUAACCUCUCAGAACAGUCUCUCUGAACUCUAUUUUACAUUAAUGGGCAGAGUAAGUAGGAAAAUUAAACACACCAAACCUCUUUUCCAAUGGGCUGAUUGAAAUGUAUGACCUCUACCGCAACCACUUCCACUUGUUUGUAAGGUCCACUGGUAGCUUCAAGCAUCUAAUCCCUUUGCAAAUCUGGCAUGCAACUAUCUUCGUUGAGGAGGGGACCCCAUAUUGGAUUUUUCUUUCUUUCUUUUUUUUCUUUUUUUUUGGUCUGACCCCAUAUUGGAUGUUAUGAACUCUGCAAAUUUAAAGGUUGGGACUAUCAGAUGAUUAUGACACACCCUUUAAAUCUGCAAACAUACUGGACUGGAACAAAAAAAAGGUUUUAACUUUCACCCACUUUCAAGAAAUAAACAACUUUCAUAUUCACAAUUGAAAAUAAACAAAUUUACAAAAAUGUAGUAUUAAUUGUUUUUGUAACUCACUGCAUUUUCCAAA